rnacentral:lncRNA from 1 species
GAUUCCUAAAUUUUAAUUUGUUAUGAUUUUUAGCUCAUACAUUCUAAAUUGCUGUAAUCAAAUACUGCAGUUUAAUUAAGUUGAAUAAAUAGUGAUGUAUUUUUCAUAUGAUAGUGAUCUAGCAGUAUUGUGGUCGAUGAUGCACGAAUGAUUAAGAUUCCACAUUGUUACCAGUUCAGCAACACGUCAAUAUCCAAUCAACCAAAUUAUACUAUGUGCUUUAAUUGAAACAAUUUGAAAAUUUUUCGACUUUCUAAUUUACCCAUUUUAGAAAGGUAAUAUUAAAAAUACUUUUUUUACGUUCCAAUCUAUUUUCAAUAUACCCCUAUAGUUAAAUUUUGUUAAUAAACUGUUAUCAAUAGUUGUUAUAUUUAAAAAAUUACUAUUUUACCCUUUCAAAUAUACCCUUCUACCACCAACAACUUUUCUUAUUUGCCUUUAAGUUAAGGACACAAAAAGUAUUUUGAUUUUUGGUCUUUUCAAAUAUACCCUUUUGCCAUCACAAAUAUUUCUUAUUUGCCCUUAUAAGGACAAAAGAAGUAUUUUAAAUUUUUUUAACUCUGCUAAAUAUUUAACUCACGUUUAAGCUAAGUUAACUUAACGAGUAGAAAUAGCAGGGUAUUUUGGAAUAACGAAGAAACAAAUGAGACGUAAAUUGAAAAGAUAAAAAAAAAAAAAGGGAUAAAUAAGAUAUUUUUAAAGUUUUGAACGAUAUAUAAGCAAUUAUUCCAAAAAUAAACUGUAAAAGUUGUAUUCAGUUUGAAAAA